rnacentral:lncRNA from 1 species
UUUUAAAAUUCUGUUUCCUGCUGAUUCUCUCAAAUGGGUCUGCAUCUUUUAUUCAAUUUGAGUGCAUUUUAUAGUUUUCUUGGAUUCAAUGAAUCUGAAUAUCUGAUCAUGUUGUGAUUUAGCCAUAUGAAUUUUGUUAUUGUAUUAAAGUUUUGUAAAUUGGGACCUCUGAGUUUGCUUGUGAUCUAUUAUGACAGUUAGGCAGUGGCGAAUCCUGUAAUUUUAUCUAAGGUGUUCAAACUUCAAAGAAGUAAAAAAAAUUUCCCCAGGCUGUUCAAUAUAUGUUAUAUACCUCUAAAAUUCAAUAUUUUACUUAUAUAUAGAGUAUAAUUUUUCGACUAAGGGUCCCUUAUGGCUAUAUAGCUUCGCACUUGCUGUUAGGUGGCCAAUGAGUAUCAUAUGUUAAUGAGUAUGGUAUGUAAUCUUUGUAGAAAUUACGAAGUGUGUUUUUUGUGAGCGAUGAAAAAGACUGAGCUUUAACUCUUCAAUAUAAGUCCAGCAAGCUCCUUUAAGUUGUCAUUUUUAACUCUAAAGCAAUUUUGUCCUGAAUUAUUAUUGUGGUGAUUGUAGUGCUACCUUUAUCAAGUUCCUUUUUCAAAUAUGUUAAGAGAAUCCCAUUUAGUUCCUCUCAAUAGAAUUUGCACUUUCCAACUGCAAAUCUCUGUCGCUUUGUUGUCGGUCUGAUUAGUUUGUGUGUGAAUAUUGUUGGAGAGUAGAUUUUUUUUUCGUGAAAGCUGAAGAACUUCUCAUACUAAUCAAAGUGGAAUGAGAAAAUGGAAAUCUAUGUUCGUAUUAAGAUCUUUUUUCCUAAAUUUUGGGUGUUGAACUGCAUUCUACUCAUUUUUUGCUUACAUAUAGAUAAUUUGGUUAAUUGGAAUGUCUACUUUCUUUUCUUAUGAAGAAGAUGGCUACUUCCUUGAGGUUGUUGUUGCAUCUUGACUUUGAUUUUGAUCUUAAAUUCUUCUGGUCUUUGCAAUUAAUAUAAAGCUUGUGUUCAAUUCUACGCAUUUGACUUUGAUUCUUGACUUUAAAUACGGUUUUAAAUUCUUUCCCGCCCUUGCAAUUAAUAUAAAGCUUGUGUUCAAUUCUAUGCAUUUGAAUUUGAUUGUUCUUUAAAUGAGUGAAGAUAUGAUACUAUGUUCCUAAGUGCCCAAUGACAUCUCAUUUUGAAUGUUAAUUUCAUUCA